rnacentral:rRNA from 1 species
UACGGGGGGUGCGAGCGUUGUCCGGAAUCACUGGGCGUAAAGGGCGCGCAGGCGGCCGCCCGCGUGUGUGGUGAAAGCUCCUGGCUUAACUAGGAGAGGUCCAUGCAGACGGGGCGGCUUGAGCGUCGGAGAGGGGCAUGGAAUUCCGGGUGGAGCGGUGAAAUGCGUAGAGAUCCGGAGGAACACCAAUGGCGAAGGCAGUGCCCUGGCCGACGGCUGACGCUCAGGCGCGAAAGCGUGGGGAGCAAACAGG